UACGUAGGGUGCGAGCGUUAAUCGGAAUUACUGGGCGUAAAGCGUGCGCAGGCGGUUCGUUGUGUCUGUGGUGAAAGCCCCGGGCUUAACCUGGGAAUGGCCAUGGAAACUGGCGAGCUGGAGUGUGGCAGAGGGGGGUGGAAUUCCUGGUGUAGCGGUGAAAUGCGUACGAUAUCAGGAGGAACACCGGUGGCGAAGGCGGUCAU
rnacentral:rRNA from 1 species